rnacentral:rRNA from 1 species
AUAGGCUGGAGGUGUAAGUGCAGUAAUGCAUUGAGCUGACCAGUACUAAUAGACCGUGUGACUUGACCCU